rnacentral:rRNA from 1 species
UACGUAGGGUGCGAGCGUUAAUCGGAAUUACUGGGCGUAAAGCGUGCGCAGGCGGUUCGUUGUGUCGGUGGUGAAAGCCCCGGGCUUAACCUGGGAAUGGCCAUGGAAACUGGCGAACUGGAGUGUGGCAGAGGGGGGUGGAAUUCCGCGUGUAGCAGUGAAAUGCGUAGAGAUGUGGAGGAACACCGAUGGCGAAGGCAGCCCCCCUGGGCUAACACUGACGCUCAUGCACGAAAGCGUGGGGAGCAAACAGG